GACGAACGCUGGCGGCGUGCUUAACACAUGCAAGUCGAACGGAAAGGCCCUGCUUUUGUGGGGUGCUCGAGUGGCGAACGGGUGAGUAACACGUGAGUAACCUGCCCUUGACUUUGGGAUAACUUCAGGAAACUGUGGCUAAUACCGGAUAGGAGCUCCUGCUGCAUGGUGGGGGUUGGAAAGUUUCGGCGGUUGGGGAUGGGCUCGCGGCUUAUCAGCUUGUUGGUGGGGUAGUGGCUUACCAAGGCUUUGACGGGUAGCCGGCCUGAGAGGGUGACCGGCCACAUUGGGACUGAGAUACGGCCCAGACUCCUACGGGAGGCAGCAGUGGGGAAUAUUGCACAAUGGGCGGAAGCCUGAUGCAGCAACGCCGCGUGCGGGAUGACGGCCUUCGGGUUGUAAACCGCUUUCGCCUGUGACGAAGCGUGAGUGACGGUAAUGGGUAAAGAAGCACCGGCUAACUACGUG
rnacentral:rRNA from 1 species